rnacentral:lncRNA from 1 species
UGCAUAUGUGAAGGUGUGGCCUCAUGAAACCACAGCACACUGUUAGGAGCUACCAGCCUGUCACAAGUGGGUGUGAAGGUUGCCUAGAGGAGACUACCAGGAGAUAACACUGAAGGGGUGGAUUAGGAAAGCCCUUGUGCACCAUCUUGAACUUUACCUUGAAUGCAAUGGAGAGCUGUGAAAGGGCUUUAAGCAAGGCCCAGGCCUCACUGAAUCUGUGGUUUAGAAAGAACUCUCUGGUUACAAGAUGGAGCAUGGAUGCAAGCGAGCUAAUUCUACAGUCUCCCCAGUCCAGAGAAACUCUGCUUCAACCUCUCCAGAGACUAGAAACCUCUCAACUCAUGUCAGUGUGGAUGAUGGGCAGGGCCUCAGCUGUGCAGGAUGAAGGAGAAAACGGAAGACAAAUGCUUCCUAAGCAGACUCCCAGCUGAGUUUUUAUAGCCCCACCUUUGCUGCAAUUCCUGGAACCAUCAAUUCCUGAGUAUUUGGGGUGUUCUGCAGUGUAAUAAGUUUGCUUUUCACCUCCCACUCUACCAGCUGAGAAGAAGUCUGCAUUUUUGGAUCUGCAAAGUCAGCUGAAUGUGUCCUCCUCCCUCCAGCUUCCAGGACUGUGUUGUUCUUGUCUCCUCCAUCAUUUUCUUUGUCCUUGUGGGCGUAUGCUCUGUUUAAGCCCCAUUGCUGUUAUUUUUGUUGGCUUUCAAGAGGAAAAGGAGAUAAAUGAAAGUAGUCAAUCUUGUCUUUACCCAAAGUCCUUCACAGGAGGUUAGAAAAAAGUGAACAUCUGGACAAAAUGAGGACUCUUGACUGUAAGGAGGAAGGAAAGAAGUGGCCACUGGGUGGAGAACCAAGUGUAACUUCAUCCAAGUGAAGUGUGAAAACUUCUCUGAAAAAAGAUCAUAUAAAAUCUGGAUUCUCGAUCAUUUGUGCUGUCAGCAUGCAGUUUUUCCAGUUCAGUAAAGUAGGUCAUAUAGGAAUAUUGGAUUCAUCUGUGCCACUCUUGAAGCCUUUGAAGAUUAAUGAGUUUCUGCAAUGCAUGCAAAGUGUUUUAAAUUCUUGGAAGACAAGAUUUGCCUGUUAUGAAACAGCAACAUCCCCAAUUAUCAGCCAUUAAGCUUCCCACCAACCUCAGCCAACAAUCAAAUGCAUGUGAAGGUGAGAGAUGAUGCAGUGGGUCCCCAUCAGUGUUGGAUAUGAUUCCUC